GGAUUUAAAGGGUAUUUUAGAAUAAUUAGGAUUUAAAUUUAAAUCAAAAAGGUGAAUUUUUGGUAAGAUACGUAUGUUGCAUAAGAAACAGAAAUAUGUCUAAGAUACGCAUACGUGGCAGAAAAAAGUUGGCUAAAUUCUUUUUUUUUUUUACUCAGUUUUUUUUUUUUCUCUCUUUGAAACCAAAACGAAAUGUCGCAUAAACAACAAAGUUACUUUACUGGAUUUUGAACUUGCCAGCUGAUUUCAUCGACCAAAACUGAACUAGUUUUUUUUUUUUUUUGAUUUUUUGAAGUUUUUGUAACAGCAAUAACUAUGAGUUAUAUUCAGCCUAUAUAUAAAACUUUGGUGCUUCUCAAUGCUCCUUUGAAGUUAAAUGGGAUCAUUUUGUUGUUUGAAUCGCUAAUUUAAUAAAUUGGUAUUUAAUCUGAUAACAUAUUUGAU
rnacentral:lncRNA from 1 species